CUGCCUGGGGCAUCACCCUCCACACUGUGGGGAGGAGAUAAAAUGAGCCAGGAUGUGGCAACAGGAGAGAGGCUUGCUAGGCCCAACUGAGUGAGUACACUAGAUCCUGCCCCCAACCCCAUCUUCUCCCAUUUCCUCAGAUACCUAGAGACUCCAACAUUUAAGAGACCUUUAAUCUGUCUCUUCACUGCCUACACGGUUCAUUCACUCAAGUGCCCUUGUUUUUCUUUAUUCCCUUUCAGUCCCUUCCCGUCAGAGCCCCAUCUCCAUAACUCUUCUGAGACACUGUUCCCUCAAGAGUGUCUUCUCAGUUUUGUCCUCAGUCCUACCCACCACCCCUCACAAUCUGGUCCAGUCACAACUUUACUCCUAGUCUCCUCCCACUCCUGUCCCUAGCAGCUCCAGCCUCAAAUCUUCCUUCCCCUGACGGCCUAGUUGCUCCCUCCCUGAAUCUCUUCUCCACCCAGCUAAUUCUUCAUAACCCCAUGCAGUGAUUUCCCUUAUAGUCCUAUUCCCAGAACAACCCCAGACCAGGUUCCUUGACAUAUUGCCCCCCUCCCAGACCUGGUUGGUGAUUCCUGCCCAUCCAGGUCCUCCCUCCCCCACCCAGCCCUGCCCCUGUGCCCUGCCCCUGCCCUUAGCAGCCUGGAGUCCAGGCCUGGCCAGUUCCCAGGGUUCCCAGGCUGCUGCUGCUGCUGCUCUUGCUGUUACUGCUGCGGCUGCGGCUGCUGCUGCUGCUGGUGGUGAGAGGGCAGGGUGAAGGCACAGGCUGGGCCACAGUGGGAAGUGCCUCCCAUUCAGCAUCCUCACAGGAUGGUGGAAUCCUGCUCAGCAACCUCUCCAACAUUUCCCUUACCAGUACACAUUGCAAAUCCAGCUUUGAGCAACUGUCUCCUCUAUGUCCAAAACAUCCACGGCUCUCACUGUCUGCAAGUUAGUCCGAUCUCCAAUCACUCUGGCAUUGAAGACCUCUCAAGGUUCAACAGACAAGGCUUCUAGAAUACUUAAUAUUUAGAAAACAAAGCCCGGAGAGGAUAGCUACCAACAAUACAAGCAGGAUUCAACUCCAGGCAGAGUGACUUCAGAGUUCACGCCCUCAAUCAUUAAGCAACCCCCUAAUCUUACCCACCCAGCCCAGCUUCUGUUUCUGUCAAAUGUUCCUCAGGCCCCUACCUUCCAAACUGCUCAUAUAAGACCUACUCCCAAUGCUAUCCCCAUCAUUUCUGCUAGUGCAACCUGAGAAAUGCUCCACACGCUAAUUCUGUUAAGAUUCAAGGUAUAUAUAUACCCCUACUGAGAUGCCCCCUGAAUCUUGCCACCAGCCAGAAAUUACAGCUGAUCUUCCUCAGACCCCCUAUCUUUACAAAUGGCUUCCUU